rnacentral:rRNA from 1 species
UACGGAGGGUGCAAGCGUUAUCCGGAUUCACUGGGUUUAAAGGGUGCGUAGGUGGGCAGGUAAGUCAGUGGUGAAAUCUCCGAGCUUAACUCGGAAACUGCCGUUGAUACUAUUUGUCUUGAAUAUUGUGGAGGUAAGCGGAAUAUGUCAUGUAGCGGUGAAAUGCUUAGAUAUGACAUAGAACACCAAUUGCGAAGGCAGCUUACUACACAACGAUUGACGCUGAGGCACGAAAAGCGUGGGGGAGCAAACAGG